rnacentral:tRNA from 1 species
GGCGAGGUCGCAUAGUGGACUAGUGCAGCCGCCUUGAAAGCGGCCGAGGGUUAAACCUCCCAGGGUUCAAAUCCCUGUCUCGCCG